rnacentral:rRNA from 1 species
GACGAACGCUGGCGGCGUGCUUAACACAUGCAAGUCGAGCGGUAAGGCCCUUUCGGGGGUACACGAGCGGCGAACGGGUGAGUAACACGUGGGUGACCUGCCUUUAGCUCUGGGAUAAGCCUGGGAAACUGGGUCUAAUACCGGAUACGACUCCGCGGUGCAUGCUGUGGGGUGGAAAGCCUUGUGCGGCUGGAGAUGGGCCCGCGGCCUAUCAGCUUGUUGGUGGGGUGAUGGCCUACCAAGGCGACGACGGGUAGCCGGCCUGAGAGGGCGACCGGCCACACUGGGACUGAGACACGGCCCAGACUCCUACGGGAGGCAGCAGUGGGGAAUCUUGCGCAAUGGGCGAAAGCCUGACGCAGCGACGCCGCGUGAGGGAUGACGGCCUCGGUUGUAAC